rnacentral:rRNA from 1 species
GACUCUCGGCAACGGAUAUCUCGGCUCUUGCAUCGAUGAAGAACGUAGAGAAAUGCGAUACCUGGUGUGAAUUGCAGAAUCCCGCGAACCAUCGAGUCUUUGAACGCAAGUUGCGCCCGAGGCCACUCGGCCGAGGGCACGCCUGCCUGGGCGUCA